GUGUGUUUCUCAGCUAUCUCAACUCUCUAAAGCCGAAAGGCCCAUCUGGUGUUCCUUGCAUACAUGUAUAAGUGACAUACAUGGGAGAUCCAGUGAGAGGCGGUUCUCAGGGAUGAUCCCUCCAGGCCUUGGGGCCCACUUCUCACUGCAGAGGAAAGAAAGGAUGGACUGGUGUGCUUCUGGUCAGCUCUUUGGGUAUAGAAAAGUGAAUCUGAGGGGCUGAGGUGAGUGGUAUGGAUAGCUGGGGGUUCUGAACACACUUAUGUCACUCGGCCAAAAACAGUCAGGAAUCCCCUUUCAGUCACCUCACACGUAUGCCUAGGGAGUAAGUAGUCUGUCUUAUCCAAGGCAGAGACCUCAGAGAGGGGGAAGUGGUUGUGUUUGGAUGGUGUUGGCACUGUGAAGGUCUGCUCUAAAUGCAGCCUUGGAUGGACAAGGUGUGGGGACAUCCUUCCUGCCUGUGUCCCCAGUGAACAAGGACAGAGUUUCUCACUAGGAAAGUAUGCAUCUGGCUUUUUGAACCGUCUAGUCUCUUGGCUAAACACACUCAGAAGAGUGUGGUAUUCAUAUUAGCAGACCUUGAGUCUUCUAGCCUAAGACCCCGAGGCUUCCCCUGUGGUUCAGCUGGAGCCACUUGACGUCCCAGGAAAGACCGUAGUCACUUCUGGGAAAGGCUGUGUAUUUUCUGGCCUCUUUUAUUCCUUCCAAUGGCCUGUGAGCCGGGUGAGAAAUCAGGAUCUCCCUGAAGAUCAAGUCAGAUACAUGGUCUCUUUCAGCCCCUCCCAUACCCACUGAGGCUUGACACCACCUCUAGACAUGUCGCUGGACUUUGAAAGAAGAAGUGUGGUUCAGGCUCUACCAAUAUGCGGGAUCCUAUUUCUACAUCUGGGAGCUGACCGAAGGUGGAUGUUGGAGUUGGACACUAGCUCACUAUGACUGGAGAUAAUACUCUCGUGUUCAACGGCCAGCUUUAGCCAGUAACAGGGUCCUCUGUGGUCACAGUUCCUAAUCACUGCCUCAUCACCA